rnacentral:rRNA from 1 species
AACGAACGCUGGCGGCAUGCCUAACACAUGCAAGUCGAACGAGACCUUCGGGCUUAGUGGCGCACGGGUGCGUAAAGCGUGGGAACCUGCCUUUAGGUUCGGAAUAACUCCCCGAAAGGGGUGCUAAUACCGGAUAAUAUUUUCGGACAAAAGCUUUAUCGCCUUUGGAUGGGCCCGCGUUGGAUUAGCUAGUUGGUAGGGUAAAAGCCUGCCAAGGCGACGAUCCGUAGCUGGUUUGAGAGGAUGAUCAGCCACACUGGGACUGAGACACGGCCCAGACUCCUACGGGAGGCAGCGGUGGGGGAUAUUGGACAAUAGGCGUAAGCCUGAUCCAGCGAUGCCGCGUGAGUGAUGAAGGCCUUAGGGUUGUAUAUCUCUUUUACCCGAGAUUAUAGUGACAGUACCGGGAGAAGAAGCACCGGCUAACUCCGUG